UUCUAGGGAACAGAACCAAAGCUCAGACUUCCUCAACCAUGUCAAGAACGGCGAUAGUGAACACAAGAGCAAGAGAGUUCUUCUGAGAAACCCAAGAGUGUCUAGAUGAAUCCAGAACUGAAGGAAUCUUGGAGAUCAGUGUUUCCCAAACUGCAGGAUCACAGAAGGCUGUUGGGCAGGAUUUCUAAGUGUGCCUCAAAGACAACGCCCACACUCAAGAAAAGUCUGGGAGGGCUUCGCUGGUGGCGCAGUGGUUAAGCAUCUGCCUGCCAAUGCAGGGGACAGGGGUUCGACCCCUGGCCCAGGAAGAUCCCACAUGCCACGGAGCAGCUAAGCCCGUGCGCCACAACUACUGAGCGUGCGCUCUAGAGCCUGUGUGCCACAACUUCUGAAGCCCAUCCGCCUAGAGCCCAUGCUCCACAACAAGAGAAGACACCGCAAUGAGAAGCCCACGCACCGCAAUGAAGAGUAGCCUCCGCCCGCCACAACUACAGAAAGCCCGUGUGCAGCAACGAAGACCCAACACAGCCAAAAAAAAGAGAAAAGUCUGGGAAAUCCCACGUUAAGUAAAGCAAAGAGCAGCCCCCGCUCCAUGAAACUAGAGAAAGCCUGUGUGCAGCAAUGAAGACCCAACGCAGCCAAAAAUAAAUAAAUAAAUUCAAAAAAAAAAAAAAAGAAAUUUGAUCUAGUAAAAAUAAGCACCAAAAAUAUAAGGAUAUAAGGUUGUUGACUGCAGCACUAUUGUUAAUGCAAAAGGAAACCAAAACAGAAAGAAGGAAGAAAGGAAGGGUGGAAGAAAGGAAGGAGAGGGAAAGUGAAAGAGAGAAAGAAACAAUAAAUGAACCUAGGGCUUCCCUGGUGGCGCAGUGGUUGAGAGUCCACCUGCUGGUGCAGGGGACACGGGUUCAUGCCCCGGUCUGGGAGGAUCCCACAUGCCGCGGAGCGGCUGGGCCGGUGAGCCAUGGCUGCUGAGCCUAUGCGUCCGGAGCCUGUGCUCCGCAACGGGAAAGGCCACAACGUGAGAGGCCCGCGUACCACAAAAUAAAAAAAUAAAUGAACCUAUGUGUCCAUCAGUAGUGGAUGAGUUAAAUAAAAUAUAACCAUCUAUACAACUGAGGUCCAUGAAGUUCUUAAAAGCUAUAAUGCAGA